rnacentral:sRNA from 1 species
CUGCAGUUCCGAGAAUAGUUGGUCAUCUGUUCUCCUCCUCCCUCAGGGUGGCCAGCUUCGGAACGGUAGAGCCCGCUUGAGCGCUCCUCCUCCUCAAGCUCGCGGGUAUGGUCGGCCAAAAGCCGGUCAGCAGGCGAUGCUUCGGCAUCGCCUUUGUUUCGAGAAGGCUGCCCCGUCAUGAUGGACCGGGCGGCCUUUUCGUUUUCU